UACAGAGGUGGCAAGCGUUGUUCGGAAUUACUGGGCGUAAAGGGCGCGUAGGCGGCUUGGUCAGUCCCGUGUGAAAUCCCUCGGCUCAACUGAGGAACUGCACGGGAAACUGCCUGGCUUGAGUUCGGGAGAGGGAAGCGGAAUUCCGGGUGUAGCGGUGAAAUGCGUAGAUAUCCGGAGGAACACCGGUGGCGAAGGCGGCUUCCUGGACCGAUAUUGACGCUGAGGAGCGAAAGCGUGGGGAGCGAACAGG
rnacentral:rRNA from 1 species